UACCGAACAUUCAGUGAUAGCUGAAUCGUACACUGAGCCAAUUAAUCCGAUUAUAUUUAUCUGGAAUAUCAUAUACACGCAUCAGAAUUCAUAUUUGAUAGGUUUUAUUAACACCCAAUAAAGACUAUAUGAAGGUCCAACGAGGUUUAAAUAAUAACCAUAUGAAAGCCGUUUGAAUUUCACAUAUAACUUAUUGGAUAUCGUUUACCCGUUCGGUAAUUGAAAAAUCAGAUACAUGUUAUAUGAUUUUAUAUUGUGAAAAAAAUCUGUUUAUAUUUAGUACUACGAUGGCGGCCACUGCAUACAAUUUGGUAGCAGAUUUUGGUUUAACGACGAGCUUUUGCAAAUUUGUAACGAAUGUGAAACCAUUAUUUGCGAGCAUUUACCUUGCUCGCUGAAGAAAUUCGCUGCUGAUUCUAUACAACUGAGAACUUUCUAAAGUUGUGUUUGACGAUAUCUAGGUGAGAUGUUUUAUUCGGCAGUUAGUUUUGUGCUUAAAUUUUGUUAACAUGGUUCCAUUGUUUUAGAUUUUUGUACCGACCAUCC
rnacentral:lncRNA from 1 species